AUGGGAACGCGAAGAACCUUACCUAGACUUGACAUCUUCUGCAUUAAUCGUAAUGGAUGAAAUCCCUUCGGGGACAGAAUGACAGGUGGUGCAUGGUUGUCGUCAGCUCGUGUCGUGAGAUGUUGGGUUAAGUCCCGCAACGAGCGCAACCCUUAUUACUAGUUGCUACCAUUAAGUUGAGCACUCUAGUGAGACUGCCCAGGUUAACCGGGAGGAAGGCGGGGAUGACGUCAAAUCAUCAUGCCCCUUAUGUCUAGGGCAACACACGUGCUACAAUGGUGAGUACAGAUAGAUGCGAUACCGCAAGGUGGAGCCAAACUCUAAAACUCAUCCCAGUUCGGAUUGUAGGCUGAAACUCGCCUACAUGAAGCUGGAGUUGCUAGUAAUCGCGAAUCAGAAUGUCGCGGUGAAUACGUUCCCGGGUCUUGUACACACCG
rnacentral:rRNA from 1 species